UGGGAGAUUAGAAACGGCUGUUAGCA
rnacentral:piRNA from 1 species